CAAAUCUUCUCAAGGGAUCUCAGAUACCUUGGCCUGUUUCUUUGCCUCAUCUACAGCCACAGGAUAGGAAUGCAGAAGUUCUUUGGACUCCUAGCUGUUCUCCUGCAACCAGCAUUUCUACCAAGCUGUUUCGUUUGUGCACCAGGCAACAGGAUUACUAACCUUUGAGUGAGAGAAACUUCUGCUGAUGUCAAAUGACCAGGAGGACAUUAACAACUGAUUUUGGUGCCUGUCGGGUGCCGUUGGCCCUACUAAUGACCUAUGCUAAAUUUGAACUGCAAACCCCAGAGACAUCUAGCAUGGU